rnacentral:misc_RNA from 1 species
GAUGAAGAACGUAGUGAAAUGCGAUAAGUAAUGUGAAUUGCAGAAUUCAGUGAAUCAUCGAAUCUUUGAACGCACCUUGCGCUCUUUGGUAUUCCGAAGAGCAUGCCUGUUUGAGUGUCAUGAAAAUAUCAACCUUGACUUGGGUUUUGUGCUCUAGUCUCGGCUUGGAAUUGGGUGCUUGCCGCUUUUACGAGCGGCUCACCUUAAAUGUAUUAGCUGGAUCUGUCUUUGAGACUUGGUUUGACUUGGCGUAAUAAGUAUUUCGCUAAGGACAUUCUUCGGAGUGGCCUCGUUUCUAGGACGCUUGUCCGCUNUNCAAUACAAGUUCCACCUCGUGGACAUGACUUUUUAUUAUCUGGCCUCAAAUCAGGUAGGACUACCCGCUGAACUUAAGCAUAUCAAUAAGCGGAGGA